rnacentral:snRNA from 1 species
GCUUCACCGGCUGAACUCAA